GCCUGGCUGGCUCAGUUGGAGGAGCGUGACACUCUUGUUCUCAGGGUCGUGGGUUCAAGCCCCACGUCGGGUG
rfam:Felis catus isolate Cinnamon breed Abyssinian chromosome X, whole genome shotgun sequence.